GACGAACGCUGGCGGCGUGCUUAACACAUGCAAGUCGAACGGUGAAGCGCCUUCCUUUUUGGUGGGUGUGGAUGAGUGGCGAACGGGUGAGUAACACGUGAGUAACCUGCCCCCUUCUUCUGGAUAACCGCAUGAAAGUGUGGCUAAUACGGGAUAUUCUGGGUCUGUCGCAUGAUGGGUCUGGGAAAGAUAUUGUUUCGGUGGGGGAUGGGCUCGCGGCCUAUCAGCUUGUUGGUGGGGUGAUGGCCUACCCAGGCGGUGACGGGUAGCCGGCCUGAGAGGGUGGACGGUCACACUGGGACUGAGACACGGCCCAGACUCCUACGGGAGGCAGCAGUGGGGAAUAGUGCACAAUGGGCGCAAGCCUGAUGCAGCGACGCCGCGUGAGGGAUGGAGGCCUUCGGGUUGUGAACCUCUUUCGCCAGUGAAGCAGGCCUGCCUCGUUUGUGGGUGGGUUGACGGUAGCUGGAGAAGAAGCGCCGGCUAACUACGUG
rnacentral:rRNA from 1 species